GGGCUCGUGGCUUAGCCUGGAUAUAGCGCUGGCCUUCUAAGCCAGAUGUCUCGGGUUCGAAUCCCGACGGGCCCGCCA
rnacentral:tRNA from 1 species